rnacentral:rRNA from 1 species
GAUGAACGCUGGCGGCGUGCUUAACACAUGCAAGUCGAACGGAAAGGCCCAAGCUUGCCUGGGUACUCGAGUGGCGAACGGGUGAGUAACACGUGGGUGAUCUGCCCUGCACUUCGGGAUAAGCCUGGGAAACUGGGUCUAAUACCGGAUAGGACGAUGGUUUGGAUGCCAUUGUGGAAAGUUUUUUCGGUGUGGGAUGAGCUCGCGGCCUAUCAGCUUGUUGGUGGGGUAAUGGCCUACUAAGGCGUCGACGGGUAGCCGGCCUGAGAGGGUGUACGGCCACAUUGGGACUGAGAUACGGCCCAGACUCCUACGGGAGGCAGCAGUGGGGAAUAUUGCACAAUGGGCGCAAGCCUGAUGCAGCGACGCCGCGUGGGGGAUGACGGCCUUCGGGUUGUAAACUCCUUUCGCUAGGGACGAAGCGUUUUUGUGACGGUACCUGGAGAAGAAGCACCGGCUAACUACGUG